rnacentral:rRNA from 1 species
UACGUAGGGUGCAAGCGUUAAUCGGAAUUACUGGGCGUAAAGCGUGCGCAGGCGGUUAUGUUAGACCGGUGUGAAAUCCCCGGGCCUAACCUGGGAACUGCAUUUGUGACUGCAUAGCUAGAGUACGGCAGGGGGGGAUGGAAUUCCGCGUGUAGCAGUGAAAUGCGUAGAUAUGCGGAGGAACACCGAUGGCGAAGGCAAUCCCCUGGGCCUGUACUGACGCUCAUGCACGAAAGCGUGGGGAGCAAACAGG